AAGUCGGUACGAUUGGGCCUAGGUGUGGGGGACAUUCCACGUUCUCCGCGCCGUAGCUAACGCAUUAAGUGCCCCGCCUGGGGAGUACGGUCGCAAGGCUAAAACUCAAAGGAAUUGACGGGGGCCCGCACAAGCGGCGGAGCAUGCGGAUUAAUUCGAUGCAACGCGAAGAACCUUACCAAGGCUUGACAUACACUGGACCGUUCUGGAAACAGUUCUUCUCUUUGGAGCUGGUGUACAGGUGGUGCAUGGUUGUCGUCAGCUCGUGUCGUGAGAUGUUGGGUUAAGUCCCGCAACGAGCGCAACCCUCGUUCUAUGUUGCCAGCACGUGAUGGUGGGAACUCAUAGGAGACUGCCGGGGUCAACUCGGAGGAAGGUGGGGAUGACGUCAAAUCAUCAUGCCCUUUAUGUCUUGGGCUUCACGCAUGCUACAAUGGCUGGUACAGAGAGAGGCGAACCCGUGAGGGUAAGCGAAUCCCUUAAAGCCAGUCUCAGUUCGGAUCGUAGUCUGCAAUUCGACUACGUGAAGUCGGAGUCGCUAGUAAUCGCAGAUCAGCAACGCUGCGGUGAAUACGUUCCCGGGCCUUGUACACACCGCCCGUCAAGUCACGAAAGUCGGUAACACCCGAAGCCGGUGUCCCAACCCACUUGUGGGAGGGGGCCGUCUAAGGUGGGACUGGUGAUUGGGACUAAGUCGUACAAAGGGGUACACAUAA
rnacentral:rRNA from 1 species